GAUGAACGCUGGCGGCGUGCCUAAUACAUGCCAGUCGAGCGAACAGACGAGGAGCUUGCUCCUCUGACGUUAGCGGCGGACGGGUGAGUAACACGUGGAUAACCUACCUAUAAGACUGGGAUAACUUCGGGAAACCGGAGCUAAUACCGGAUAAUAUAUUGAACCGCAUGGUUCAAUAGUGAAAGACGGUUUUGCUGUCACUUAUAGAUGGAUCCGCGCCGCAUUAGCUAGUUGGUAAGGUAACGGCUUACCAAGGCGACGAUGCGUAGCCGACCUGAGAGGGUGAUCGGCCACACUGGAACUGAGACACGGUCCAGACUCCUACAGGAGGCAGCAGUAGGGAAUCUUCCGCAAUGGGCGAAAGCCUGACGGAGCAACGCCGCGUGAGUGAUGAAGGUCUUCGGAUCGUAAAACUCUGUUAUUAGGGAAGAACAAAUGUGUAAGUAACUAUGCAUGUCUUGACGGUACCUAAUCAGAAAGCCACGGCUAACUACGUG
rnacentral:rRNA from 1 species